rnacentral:rRNA from 1 species
UACGAGAGGCCCAAACGUUAUUCGGAUUUACUGGGCGUAAAGCGUGUGUAGGCGGCUUCGCAAGUUGGAUGUGAAAUCCCACGGCUCAACCGUGGACGUGCAUCCAAAACUGCGUCGCUAGAGUCUCGAAGAGGAAGGUGGAAUGCUUGGUGUAGAGGUGAAAUUCGUAGAUAUCAAGCAGAACACCUGCGGCGAAGGCGGCCUUCUGGACGAUGACUGACGCUGAGACACGAAAGCGUGGGGAGCAAACAGG